AGAUGGCAUUCUUUGAAGUCAUCUGCAGAACUCAAUCAAAAAUGGGAAACUACUUGGUAUGAAAGGAAAAACCCUUUUCUGAGAGCAACAGAGAGCACUGCCACUUGUCUAACCAGCUCUAGAGAGCAUUAAGGAACUUGAAGUCUAAAGGUCAGAAGUUCAGUCAAAUCCCAACACCCCUGUGGGCCUGAGAGAUGAUAUCUUCACUUUCCAGUAUGGAUCACAAACAUUUGCUUGCUUUUUCCUUAUAAAAAAAUAAUAAAAACUGUUCAUAAGCAUUUGAGACAUAUUUCAUUGAGUCAGCACAAGAUCCUCAAGUAUUCUACCACCAGAACUGAAAAAGAUUAUUUUAAGGGUGAUAUCUUCCUUUAUCUGUUGCAAAGUGCCCUUUUGAUAACAUGGAGAUGAAAGGACGAUUUUAAGGCCAUCCACUAAAAACUUCCUACAGCUAUGUGGUUAUUUUUUGUAAUAAAAUGUAAUAAGUAGCCAGUUUUUCCAAGAGUAAGAACAUCAGCAACACAGAGCACGUUUGUUAACCAAAGAUGACCAUUUUGCAUUAAUUUUCAACUACUAGAAUAAAUAACCAGAAAAAAAAUUGUCAAGGUAUUCAGGUAGUUGGUGAAGAACACUCAGUUUGUGAGGUCCCUCAGGAGCACUUUUGACCUGUCCUUGAUCAGCAGUUCCACCACAGUUCUCUGCAAGUCACAGAGAAAACCAAAAACAACAGAUACACUUAACCAAUGUGUUUCAGAUCUCCCAAAGCCUGAUUUGUAUUUGAUAGAUUAUACUGAACGUUACAAGUUUGUUAACAAGUAACUUUAGCAUAAUAAAAUAAUUAACAUAAGAAAUUAACUGUCUUUAAUAAGCAGUUAAAUCACUAGUAUGAAGUAUUAAGGGACAACUGCUCAGCAUAUAAAUCUCUUGAAUAACAUCCACUUUCACUUUGAGAGUCUUCUAGAAGUAUUCUACCAUGGAUUUGUUGAAAAGUCCGUCAAACCUAGUUUUAAGUAGAAAAUUAGAAUCUGAACUGCAAAGACUUCAUUUCCUCUGGAGAAGAGUCUGUUUUCCAAAAGUACUUUUUUUUUUUAGAAUAUUUAUUAACAUUAAUAAAUUUGUAAUAUCCUGAAAUUUGUAAUAAAAGUACAGUUGUUUUUUGCAGUGCUAGGUUUUUCCCUUCUUUAUAUUGCUUCCUCAUGCUUUGGACUGUCUUUUUGGUUUGUUUGCUUGAAUAUUAUUCCCGUAUUUUACAGUUAUGUCUAAAAAUGUAUCUAUGAUGUGUAGAUUUUUAUUAAUCACCUGUUAAUUCAUGUAGGUUCAAAAUGUGGUUUGGACAUACAAUGCGGCCUGUUUAGGUGAAAGACAGAGGUUUUUACUCACCUAAGUUUCUGACUGUGAAUGCAGAGGUGCUGUAGAUAUUUUAUUUAUGGGGGAGCAUAUAUGUCAACUUAUAAUGCUGUAUUGCACUAACCACUGGAGAAUGUGGGUCCAAAAUUCAAUGAGGUAUUUUCCUGCACUUGAAGGUUUACUUCUUUGCAAAGUGGCUACUAUACUGGUGACCAAUAUUUCCACAUGGGUAAAUACGUAAUACUUUAAAAUCUUACUAUUCUCAAAUUUUUUUUUCAUCACACUUUCUCUGAUGAAAACUUAUGGCUUCUCACAUGCUCAUUAGAAAGACAUUCCCGUUUCCAAAUUCUCAGAGUAGUAAGUAGUUGUCUCUGGAGGUUCUUUUACCUAACUAAAGAUUUAAAAAAAUAUACAAUAUAUCUCUUUUCUUUGUGAGUAACUUUUGUGCUUUUCUAUCAUCCAAAUGCAAUAAAGCCUGGUUAAAC
rnacentral:lncRNA from 7 species